AUUGAACGCUGGCGGCAGGCCUAACACAUGCAAGUCGAACGAGUGGCGGACGGGUGAGUAAUGUCUGGGAAAAUGCCUGAUGGAGGGGGAUAAAUACUGGGAACGGUAGCUAAUACCGCAUACAAUCAGAUGUGCCCAGAUGGGAUUAGCUAGUAGGUGGGGUAAUGGCUCACCGAGGCGACGAUCCCUAGCUUGUCUGAGAGGAUGACCAUCCCCACUGGAACUGAGACACGGUCCAGACCCCUACGGGAGGCAGCAGUGGGGAAGAUUGCACAAUGGGCGCAAGCCUGAUGCAGCCAUGCCGCGUGUGUGAUGAAGGCCUUCGGGUUGUAAAGCACUUUCAGCGGGGAGGCGUUACCCGCAGAAGAAGCACCGGCUAACUCCGUGCCAGCAGCCGCGGUAAUUC
rnacentral:rRNA from 1 species